rnacentral:rRNA from 1 species
ACUCCUACGGGAGGCAGCAGUGGGGAAUAUUGCACAAUGGAGGAAACUCUGAUGCAGCAACGCCGCGUGGAGGAUGACGCAUUUCGGUGUGUAAACUCCUUUUAUAUGGGAAGAUAAUGACGGUACCAUAUGAAUAAGCACCGGCUAACUCCGUGCCAGCAGGCGCGGUAAUACGGAGGGUGCAAGCGUUACUCGGAAUCACUGGGCGUAAAGCGCAUGCAGGCGGUCUAAUAAGUUGGAAGUGAAAGCCUAUGGCUCAACCAUAGAACUGCUUCCAAAACUGUUAGACUAGAGUCUGGGAGGGGAAGAUGGAAUUAGUAGUGUAGGGGUAAAAUCCGUAGAGAUUACUAGGAAUACCAAAAGCGAAGGCGAUCUUCUGGAACAGUACUGACGCUGAGAUGCGAAAGCGUGGGGAGCAAACAGGAUUAGAUACCCUGGUAGUCCACGCAGUAAACGAUGAAUGUUAGUCGUUGGUAUCCUAGAGAUAUCAGUGAUGCAGUUAACACAUUAAACAUUCCGCCUGGGGAGUACGGUCGCAAGAUUAAAACUCAAAGGAAUAGACGGGGACCCGCACAAGUGGUGGAGCAUGUGGUUUAAUUCGAAGAUACGCGAAGAACCUUACCUAGCCUUGACAUAUUUUAGAAUUCAUCAGAGAUGGAGGAGUGCCUUCGGGAGCUAAUAUACAGGUGCUGCACGGCUGUCGUCAGCUCGUGUCGUGAGAUGUUGGGUUAAGUCCCGCAACGAGCGCAACCCUCGUCACUAGUUACUAACGAUUCGGUCGAGGACUCUAGUGAGACUGCCUUCGUAAGGAGGAGGAAGGUGAGGACGACGUCAAGUCAUCAUGGCCUCUUACGGCUAGGGCAACACACGUGCUACAAUGGUUAGGACAAUGAGAAGCAAUAUCGCGAGGUGGAGCAAAUCUAU